rnacentral:rRNA from 1 species
CCUACGGGAGGCUGCAGUGGGGAAUAUUGCACAAUGGGGGGAACCCUGAUGCAGCAACGCCGCGUGGGUGAAGAAGUACUCCGGUAUGUAAAGCCCUGUCAGCAGGGAAGAAAAUGACGGUACCUGACCAAGAAGCCCCGGCUAACUACGUGCCAGCAGCCGCGGUAAUACGCAGGGGGCAAGCGUUAUCCGGAUUUACUGGGUGUAAAGGGAGCGUAGACGGCAAGGCAAGUCUGGAGUGAAAGCCCGGGGCCCAACCACGGGACUGCUUUGGAAACUGUGUUGCUGGAGUGCAGGAGGGGUAAGCGGAAUUCCUGGUGUAGCGGUGAAAUGCGUAGAUAUUAGGAGGAACACCGGUGGCGAAGGCGGCUUACUGGACUGUAACUGACGUUGAGGCUCGAAGGCGUGGGGAGCAAACAGGAUUAGAUACCCUUGUAGUC